rnacentral:rRNA from 1 species
GAUGAACGCUGGCGGCGUGCCUAAUACAUGCAAGUCGAGCGAAAAGACGAUGAGCUUUCUCCUUUGCCGGUAGCGGCUGACGGGCGAGUAACACGUGGAUAACCUUCUUCUAAUACUGGGAUAAUUUCGGGAAACCAGAGCUAAUACCGGAUCAUACAUUGUACCGCAUGGUUCAAUAGUGCAAGACGGCUUUGCUGUCACUUUUAGCCGGUUCCGCGUCGGAUUAGCUAGUUGGUAAGGUAACGGCUUACCAAGGCAACGAUGCGUAGCCGAUCUGAGAGGGUGAUCAGCCACACUGGAACUGAGACACGGUCCAGACUCCUACGGGAGGCAGCAGUAGGGAAUAUUGGACAAUGGGCGAAAGCCUGACACAGCAACACCGCGUGGGUGAAGAAGGUCUUCGGGUCGUAAAGCUCUUUUAUUGGGAAAGAACAACAGCAUAAGUAUCUAUGGCCGUCCUGACGGUACCUAAACAAAAAGCCCCGGCUAACUUCGUG